GCUGAGUGCAGUGGUGCAUGCCUGUAGUCCCAGCUGCUUGGGAGGCUGAGGUGGGAGGAUCACUUGUGUCCAGGAGUCCUGGGCUGUAGUGUGUUAUGCCGAUUGGUGUCACACUAAGUUCAGCAUCAAUAUGGUGACCUCCCGGGAGUGGCGGACCACCAGGUUGCCUAAGGAGGGGUGAACCGGCCCAGGUAGGAAAGGGAGCAGGUCAAAACUCCGGUGCUGAUCGGUAGUGGGAUCGUGCCUGUGAAUGGCCACUGCACUUCAGCCUGGGCAGCAUAGAGAGACCCUGUCUCUU
ensembl:misc_RNA Metazoa_SRP Metazoan signal recognition particle RNA